rnacentral:rRNA from 1 species
GUUUGAGCCUGGCUCAGAUUGAACGCUGGCGGUAUGCUUAACACAUGCAAGUCGAACGGUAACGAUGGAAGCUUGCUGCCAGGCGACGAGUGGCGGACGGGUGAGUAACGCGUAGGAAUCUGCCUAGUAGUGGGGGACAACUCGGAGAAAUCCGAGCUAAUACCGCAUACGCCCUACGGGGGAAAGCGGGGGAUCUUCGGACCUCGCGCUAUUAGAUGAGCCUGCGUCGGAUUAGCUUGUUGGUGAGGUAAUGGCUCACCAAGGCGACGAUCCGUAGCUGGUCUGAGAGGACGAUCAGCCACACUGGGACUGAGACACGGCCCAGACUCCUACGGGAGGCAGCAGUGGGGAAUAUUGGACAAUGGGCGCAAGCCUGAUCCAGCAAUACCGCG